rnacentral:rRNA from 1 species
UACGAAGGGGGCUAGCGUUGCUCGGAAUCAUUGGGCGUAAAGCGCACGUAGGCGGUCUGUUAAGUCGGAUGUGAAAGCCCCGGGCUCAACCCGGGAAGUGCAUACGAAACUGGCGGACUUGAAUAUGGAAGAGGGUCGCGGAAUUCCCGGUGUAGAGGUGAAAUUCGUAGAUAUCGGGAGGAACACCAGUGGCGAAGGCGGUCUGCUGGGCCGUUGCUGACGCUGAGGCGCGACAGCGUGGGGAGCAAACAGG